AACGAACGCUGGCGGCAUGCCUAACACAUGCGAGUCGAACGAGGGCUUCGGCCUUAGUGGCGCACGGGUGCGUAACGCGUGGGAACCUGCCCUUGGGUUUGGGAUAACGCCGGGAAACUGGUGCUAAUACCGGAUGAUAUCUUCGGAUCAAAGAUUUAUCGCCUGAGGAUGGGCCCGCGUUUGAUUAGGUAGUUGGUGGGGUAAAGGCCUACCAAGGCGACGAUCCUUAGCUGGUCUGAGAGGAUGAUCAGCCACACUGGGACUGAGACACGGCCCAGACUCCUACGGGAGGCAGCAGUGGGGAAUAUUGGACAAUGGGCGCAAGCCUGAUCCAGCAAUGCCGCGUGAGUGAUGAAGGCCUUAGGGUUGUAAAGCUCUUUUACCCGGGAAGAUAAUGACGGUACCGGGAGAAUAAGCCCCGGCUAACUCCGUG
rnacentral:rRNA from 1 species